rnacentral:rRNA from 1 species
CCUACGGGCGGCACCAGUGGGGAAUAUUGCACAAUGGGCGCAAGCCUGAUGCAGCCAUGCCGCGUGUGUGAAGAAGGCCUUCGGGUUGUAAAGCACUUUCAGCGGGGAGGAAGGCGGUGAGGUUAAUAACCUCAUCGAUUGACGUUACUCGCAGAAGAAGCACCGGCUAACUCCGUGCCAGCAGCCGCGGUAAUACGGAGGGUGCAAGCGUUAAUCGGAAUUACUGGGCGUAAAGCGCACGCAGGCGGUCUGUCAAGUCGGAUGUGAAAUCCCCGGGCUCAACCUGGGAACUGCAUUCGAAACUGGCAGGCUAGAGUCUUGUAGAGGGGGGUAGAAUUCCAGGUGUAGCGGUGAAAUGCGUAGAGAUCUGGAGGAAUACCGGUGGCGAAGGCGGCCCCCUGGACAAAGACUGACGCUCAGGUGCGAAAGCGUGGGGAGCAAACAGGAUUAGAUACCCCAGUAGUC